rnacentral:rRNA from 1 species
UUAAGCGACUAAGCGUACACGGUGGAUGCCCUGGCAGUCAGAGGCGAUGAAGGACGUGCUAAUCUGCGAUAAGCGUCGGUGAGGUGAUAUGAACCGUUAUAACCGGCGAUUUCCGAAUGGGGAAACCCAGUGUGUUUCGACACACUAUCAUUAACUGAAUCCAUAGGUUAAUGAGGCGAACCGGGGGAACUGAAACAUCUAAGUACCCCGAGGAAAAGAAAUCAACCGAGAUUCCCCCAGUAGCGGCGAGCGAACGGGGAGGAGCCCAGAGCCUGAAUCAGUGUGUGUGUUAGUGGAAGCGUCUGGAAAGGCGCGCGAUACAGGGUGACAGCCCCGUACACAAAAAUGCACAUAUUGUGAGCUCGAUGAGUAGGGCGGGACACGUGGUAUCCUGUCUGAAUAUGGGGACCAUCCUCCAAGGCUAAAUACUCCUGACUGACCGAUAGUGAACCAGUACCGUGAGGGAAAGGCGAAAAGAACCCCGGCGAGGGGAGUGAAAAAGAACCUGAAACCGUGUACGUACAAGCAGUGGGAGCCUCUUAAUGGGGUGACUGCGUACCUUUGUAUAAUGGGUCAGCGACUUAUAUUCUGUAGCAAGGUUAACCGAAUAGGGGAGCCGAAGGGAAACCGAGUCUUAACUGGGCGUUAAGUUGCAGGGUAUAGACCCGAAACCCGGUGAUUCAGCCAUGGGCAGGUUGAAGGUUGGGUAACACUAACUGGAGGACCGAACCGACUAAUGUUGAAAAAUUAGCGGAUGACUUGUGGCUGGGGGUGAAAGGCCAAUCAAACCGGGAGAUAGCUGGUUCUCCCGAAAGCUAUUUAGGUAGCGCCUCGUGAAUUCAUCUCCGGGGGUAGAGCACUGUUUCGGCAAGGGGGUCAUCCCGACUUACCAACCCGAUGCAAACUGCGAAUACCGGAGAAUGUUAUCACGGGAGACACACGGCGGGUGCUAACGUCCGUCGUGAAGAGGGAAACAACCCAGACCGCCAGCUAAGGUCCCAAAGUCAUGGUUAAGUGGGAAACGAUGUGGGAAGGCCCAGACAGCCGUGAUGUUGGCUUAGAAGCAGCCAUCAUUUAAAGAAAGCGUAAUAGCUCACUGGUCGAGUCGGCCUGCGCGGAAGAUGUAACGGGCUAAACCAUGCACCGAAGCUGCGGCAGCGACACUAUGUGUUGUUGGGUAGGGGAGCGUUCUGUAAGCCUGUGAAGGUGUACUGUGAGGUAUGCUGGAGGUAUCAGAAGUGCGAAUGCUGACAUAAGUAACGAUAAAGCGGGUGAAAAGCCCGCUCGCCGGAAGACCAAGGGUUCCUGUCCAACGUUAAUCGGGGCAGGGUGAGUCGACCCCUAAGGCGAGGCCGAAAGGCGUAGUCGAUGGGAAACAGGUUAAUAUUCCUGUACUUGGUGUUACUGCGAAGGGGGGACGGAGAAGGCUAUGUUGGCCGGGCGACGGUUGUCCCGGUUUAAGCGUGUAGGCUGGUUUUCCAGGCAAAUCCGGAAAAUCAAGGCUGAGGCGUGAUGACGAGGCACUACGGUGCUGAAGCGACAAAUGCCCUGCUUCCAGGAAAAGCCUCUAAGCAUCAGGUAACAUCAAAUCGUACCCCAAACCGACACAGGUGGUCAGGUAGAGAAUACCAAGGCGCUUGAGAGAACUCGGGUGAAGGAACUAGGCAAAAUGGUGCCGUAACUUCGGGAGAAGGCACGCUGAUAUGUAGGUGAAGCGACUUGCUCGUGGAGCUGAAAUCAGUCGAAGAUACCAGCUGGCUGCAACUGUUUAUUAAAAACACAGCACUGUGCAAACACGAAAGUGGACGUAUACGGUGUGACGCCUGCCCGGUGCCGGAAGGUUAAUUGAUGGGGUUAGCGGUAACGCGAAGCUCUUGAUCGAAGCCCCGGUAAACGGCGGCCGUAACUAUAACGGUCCUAAGGUAGCGAAAUUCCUUGUCGGGUAAGUUCCGACCUGCACGAAUGGCGUAAUGAUGGCCAGGCUGUCUCCACCCGAGACUCAGUGAAAUUGAACUCGCUGUGAAGAUGCAGUGUACCCGCGGCAAGACGGAAAGACCCCGUGAACCUUUACUAUAGCUUGACACUGAACAUUGAGCCUUGAUGUGUAGGAUAGGUGGGAGGCUUUGAAGUGUGGACGCCAGUCUGCAUGGAGCCGACCUUGAAAUACCACCCUUUAAUGUUUGAUGUUCUAACGUGGGCCCCUUACCGGGGUUGCGGACAGUGUCUGGUGGGUAGUUUGACUGGGGCGGUCUCCUCCUAAAGAGUAACGGAGGAGCACGAAGGUUGGCUAAUCCUGGUCGGACAUCAGGAGGUUAGUGCAAUGGCAUAAGCCAGCUUGACUGCGAGCGUGACGGCGCGAGCAGGUGCGAAAGCAGGUCAUAGUGAUCCGGUGGUUCUGAAUGGAAGGGCCAUCGCUCAACGGAUAAAGGUACUCCGGGGAUAACAGGCUGAUACCGCCCAAGAGUUCAUAUCGACGGCGGUGUUUGGCACCUCGAUGUCGGCUCAUCACAUCCUGGGGCUGAAGUAGGUCCCAAGGGUAUGGCUGUUCGCCAUUUAAAGUGGUACGCGAGCUGGGUUUAGAACGUCGUGAGACAGUUCGGUCCCUAUCUGCCGUGGGCGCUGGAGAACUGAGGGGCUGCUCCUAGUACGAGAGGACCGGAGUGGACGCAUCACUGGUGUUCGGGUUGUCAUGCCAAUGGCACUGCCCGGUAGCUAAAUGCGGAAGAGAUAAGUGCUGAAAGCAUCUAAGCACGAAACUUGCCCCGAGAUGAGUUCUCCCUGACUCCUUGAGAGUCCUGAAGGAACGUUGAAGACGACGACGUUGAUAGGCCGGGUGUAAGCGCAGCGAUGCGUUGAGCUAACCGGUACUAAUGAACCGUGAGGCUUAACCU